rnacentral:misc_RNA from 1 species
UCCUGUGGUAACCUUUACGGCUGAACAAACAAAGGAAGCAUUUGAUGUGGCAAGAAAUAGCAUUGAACUUCUCACAACAGUGUUGUCCUCCUCCCCUGAACAUGAUGUUUUGAAGGACGAUUUGACAACUACACUCAUUCAGCAGUGUCGUCGAUCUCAAUCGACCGUGCAGAGAAUCAUUGAGACAGCAGGAGAUAAUGAAGCUCUGCUUUUUGAAGCCUUGAAUGUGAAUGAUGAGAUUCAGAAAGUUCUCUCCAAGUAUGAAGAGUUGAAGAAGCCAUCAGUUGUUUCUUCUGAGCCUGAGCCU